rnacentral:rRNA from 1 species
GAUGAACGCUGGAGGCGUGCCUAAUACAUGCAAGUCAAGCGAAGAGGGGACGGGUGAGUAACACGUGGAUAACCUCCUAUAAGACUGGGAUAACUUCGGGAAACCGGAGCUAAAACGGAUACUUAUAUCUCAAUCCGCGAUGCCUUAGCUAGUUGGUAAGGUAACGGCUUACCAAGGAAACGAUGCAUAGCCGACCUGAGAGGGUGAUCGGCCACACUGGAACUGCGACACGUUCCAGACUCCUACGGGAGGCAGCAGUAGGGAAUCUUCCGCAAUGGGCGAAAGCCUGACGGAGCAACGCCGCGUGAGUGAUGAAGGUCUUCGGAUCGUAAAACUCUGUUAUUAGGGAAGCGGUACCUAAUCAGAACGCCACGGCUAACUACGUGCCAGCAGCCGCGGUAAUUC